GCAGUUAACACAUUAAACAUUCCGCCUGGGGGGUACGGUCGCAAGAUUAAAACUCAAAGGAAUAGACGGGGACCCGCACAAGUGGUGGAGCAUGUGGUUUAAUUCGAAGAUACGCGAAGAACCUUACCUAGCCUUGACAUUGAUAGAAUCUUCCAGAGAUGGAGGAGUGCCUUUAGGGGAACUUGAAAACAGGUGCUGCACGGCUGUCGUCAGCUCGUGUCGUGAGAUGUUGGGUUAAGUCCCGCAACGAGCGCAACCCUCGUCACUAGUUACUAACAGUUAGGCUGAGGACUCUAGUGAGACUGCCUUCGCAGGGAGGAGGAAGGUGAGGACGACGUCAAGUCAUCAUGGCCCUUACGGCUAGGGCAACACACGUGCUACAAUGGUUAGGACAGUGAGAAGCGAUACCGCGAGGUGGAGCCAAUCUAUAAACCUAAUCUCAGUUCGGAUUGUAGUCUGCAACUCGACUACAUGAAGCUGGAAUCACUAGUAAUCGUAGAUCAGCUAUGCUACGGUGAAUACGUUCCCGGGUCUUGUACUCACCGCCCGUCACACCAUGGGAGUUGAUUUCACCCGAAGCGGGGAAGCUAAACUGGCUACCCUCCACGGUGGAAUUAGCGACUGGGGUGAAGUCGUAACAAGGUA
rnacentral:rRNA from 1 species